AACAAGGAUUCCCCUAGUAACGGCGAGUGAAGCGGGAAGAGCUCAAAUUUAAAAUCUGGCGGGUUAACCGUCCGAGUUGUAGUCUAGAGAAGUAUCAUCUACGCUGGACCAUGUACAAGUCUCUUGGAACAGAGCGUCAUAGAGGGUGAGAAUCCCGUCCUUGACAUGGACUCCCAGUGUUCUGUGUUGUGCUCUCUACGAGUCGAGUUGUUUGGGAAUGCAGCUCANAAUGGGUGGUAAAUUCCAUCUAAAGCUAAAUAUUGGCGAGAGACCGAUAGCGAACAAGUACCGUGAGGGAAAGAUGAAAAGCACUUUGGAGAGAGAGUUAAACAGUACGUGAAAUUGUUAAAAGGGAAAC
rnacentral:rRNA from 1 species